UUGCUUGGCUCUAUUUCACCUCAUAGCGGUGUCAUAAGGAAGGAGGAUGCGGGCAGUUCUAGUUCUAUUUCACCGCAUUAACACUUGCUCAGUCCGUGCAAAAUUAUUACCUCAGAUUUGCUCUCCAAGGUCGGUGUUUUUGAAAGUGACAACCUGCUGACUACCUGCUGCUUCAAAGGACCGAAAUGACUGGAAAGAGAACACUCUUUCUUUACCAUACAUUUGUCUUUAUAUAAGCGAAGUACUAUGAAGACACCACUGAUCUUGAGAAGAGGUGCAACAUUCAGAGAAAUUCACAAUUCAGGGCAAUUAUAUCUACCUACGGGGGAAGGAUGGCCAGCCACACAGGAGAGUGAUUUUUACUAAGGAGGAGAAGGAGGCCGUGCUGACCGAGAUGCAUGCUGGCCAUAACUACAUACAGUAUCUCCCAUUUCUAACACUGCACUAAUGCAUUACAUUUUGUUCCUGUUCUCCAGGAGCUAGGGGUUCUGCCCAACACCCAGACGUGGAUCCACCUGAUGUCCUCCAUUAGCAACCGCCCUCCAACUUUUCAUAUCAUCAUCUACAGCUAUUGUUGUUGUCAAUAUCUGCUAAGAAUGUUUUUUUGCUCUGUCAUACUGGGCACAUAAUAUGUGAGAUACACAGAUUAACUAAAAACACUAGCUCUGCAAACACCCUGGACUUUGCAGUCUCCCUCUUCAAGUACCCCUUCUGAGACUGGCUGCCUGUUAAGAACAAGUGAUAGGCAGAACCUCCCACCCACAAAGCACCCACCUCCUCUAUAUUCCACACGCCAGAAUUCAGUAUUUUAGUCUAUGAUUGCCAUGUGGGUGUACAACAAAUCUGUGAAAAUAAAUGAAUGACA